CGACCCCAGGUCAGGCGGGACUACCCGCUGAGUUUAAGCAUAUCAAUAAGCGGAGGAGAAGAAACUUACAAGGAUUCCCCUAGUAACGGCGAGCGAACCGGGAUCAGCCCAGCUUGAGAAUCGAGCGGCACCGUCGUUCGAAUUGUAGUCUGUAGAAGCGUCCUCAGCGACGGACCGGGCCCAAGUCCCCUGGAAGGGGGCGCCAGAGAGGGUGAGAG
rnacentral:rRNA from 1 species